rnacentral:rRNA from 1 species
UACGUAGGGUGCGAGCGUUAAUCGGAAUUACUGGGCGUAAAGCGUGCGCAGGCGGUUUUGUAAGCCAGAUGUGAAAUCCCCGGGCUCAACCCGGGAACUGCGUCCGAUACUGGAAGGCUUGAAUCCGGGAGAGGGAUGCGGAAUUCCAGGUGUAGCGGUGAAAUGCGUAGAUAUCUGGAGGAACACCGGUGGCGAAGGCGGCAUCCUGGACCGGCAUUGACGCUGAGGCGCGAAAGCCAGGGGAGCAAACGGG